rnacentral:rRNA from 1 species
AUUGAACGCUGGCGGCAUGCCUUACACAUGCAAGUCGAACGGCAGCACGGGAGCAAUCCUGGUGGCGAGUGGCGAACGGGUGAGUAAUAUAUCGGAACGUGCCCAGUCGUGGGGGAUAACGUAGCGAAAGCUACGCUAAUACCGCAUACGAUCUAUGGAUGAAAGCGGGGGAUCGCAAGACCUCGCGCGGUUGGAGCGGCCGAUAUCAGAUUAGGUAGUUGGUGAGGUAAAGGCUCACCAAGCCGACGAUCUGUAGCUGGUCUGAGAGGACGACCAGCCACACUGGGACUGAGACACGGCCCAGACUCCUACGGGAGGCAGCAGUGGGGAAUUUUGGACAAUGGGCGCAAGCCUGAUCCAGCAAUGCCGCGUGCAGGAUGAA